rnacentral:rRNA from 1 species
CAGUCGCCGCGGGAAUACGGAGGGUGCAAGCGUUAAUCGGAAUUACUGGGCGUAAAGCGUGCGUAGGCGGUUUGUUAAGUCUGCUGUGAAAUCCCCGGGCUCAACCUGGGAAUGGCAGUGGAUACUGGCAAGCUAGAGUGUGUCAGAGGAUGGUGGAAUUCCCGGUGUAGCGGUGAAAUGCGUAGAGAUCGGGAGGAACAUCAGUGGCGAAGGCGGCCAUCUGGGACAACACUGACGCUGAGGCACGAAAGCGUGGGGAGCAAACAGGAUUAGAUACCCCCGUAGUCCCUGUCUCUUAUAC